rnacentral:rRNA from 1 species
GACGAACGCUGGCGGCGUGCUUAACACAUGCAAGUCGAACGGAAAGGCCCUGCUUUUGGGGGGUGCGCGAGUGGCGAACGGGUGAGUAACACGUGAGUAACCUGUCCUUAACCGUGGGGUAACUUCAGAAAAGUUAAGGUAAUACCGGAUAGGAGCUACUGCUGCAGGGUGGGGGUUGGAAAGUUUCGGCUGUUGGGGAUGGACUGGCGGCUUAUCAGCUUGUUGGUUGGGUAGUGGCUUACCACGGUCUUGACAGGUAGCCGGCCUGGGCGGAUGGCCGGCGCCAUUGCGCCUGGGCUACGGCCCAGCCUCGUCCGGUAGGCAGCGGUGGAGAAUAUUACACAGUGCGCGGAACCCUAGUGCGAUCCCGCCGCGUGCGGUAUGUCGGGCUUCGCGUAGUGAACCGCUUCCGCUUGUCACGAGGCGUGAGUGACGGUACCGGGUAAAGAAGCACCGGCUAACUACGUG